GUAGCAUAUACAAUACAAAUCAAGAAAAAGAGAAGAGAAGACCACAAACAUUAAAAACACAAUUUUGACAAAUUAUCUCUAUUGUAAAAUUGAGGGAGUAACUCAUUAUUCGAGAGAACUGGCCAUUGACAAUUCAGUUACAAUUAUCAAAGAGAACUGUAAAUUGCUAACUUAAUUACAUCAUUCUUCACAUAAGCUUCUCACUGAGGAAAUUUCUUGACUGGAAGGUCACAUUUCAAGCCAUUGCACUUAUAAAACCCAGCCCUGUUGUCAUUUAAAUUGCAAAUUAAUCAUCAAUAAUGCACAAUAAUUUAUGACCCACAAACGAUUUGGAGCCUAAGGAGGAUAAAAUAUCAAUACAAAUAAAUACACACGUAGUAAGAUGCAUUGCAAUAGUCGUAUUACUUGAAUUUGUCAGCUGACCCGCAAAAUCAGAUCAAUCAUGCAUAGUACACAAAAGAGACGAAGCUUUAACCAUAAUUGGUGCUUAACCUUCUUGCUCCUGCUAAUGAUUUUGGCCAUGAAGGCAUGAGAGUAAGGGGAGGAAGAACGGGAUGGCGCCUGC
rnacentral:lncRNA from 1 species